GGCGAACGGUGUGAGUAACACGUGGGUAAUCUGCCCUCGGCACCGGAAUAGCCCGGGGAAACCCGGAUUAAUGCCGGAUGGCCUCUCUGCCCUUCGGGGCGGCGAGAAAAGGUAGCUUCGGCCUCCGGCCGAGGAUGAGCCCGCGGCCGAUUAGCUUGUUGGUGAGGUAACGGCUCACCAAGGCGACGAUCGGUAGCUGGUCUGAGAGGACGAUCAGCCACACUGGGACUGAGACACGGCCCAGACUCCAUACGGGAGGCAGCAGUGGGGAAUCUUGCGCAAUGGGCGAAAGCCUGACGCAGCGACGCCGCGUGCGGGAAGAAGGCCUUCGAGUUGUAAACCGCUUUCAGGAGGGACGAAGCCACUCGGGUUAAUAGCCUAGAGGGUGACGGUACCUCCAGAAGAAGCCCCGGUAACUACGUGCCAGCCGCCGCGG
rnacentral:rRNA from 1 species